rnacentral:ncRNA from 1 species
UCAUCAGUCAGCUGUCCAAUGAUAUCAGUAGCUUUCUGACCUGAUGGGACCCAGAAGAUGGUGAACUAUGCCUGAAUAGGGUGAAGCCAGAGGAAACUCUGGUAGAGGCUUGUAGCAAUUCUGACGUGCAAAUUGAUCAUCAAAUUUGGGUAUAGGGGCAAAAGACUAAUCAAACCAUCUAGUAGCUGGUUCCGGCCAAAGUUUCCCUCAAGAUAGCAGAAACUCAUUGAACAGCUUUAUGAGGUAAAGCAAAUGAUUAGAGGACUUAGGGAUGAAACAUCUUUAACCUAUUCUCAAACUUUAAAUAUGUAAGACGUCCAUGUUGCUUAAUUGAACAUGGACUAUCAAAUGAGAGUUUCUAGUGGGCCAUUUUUGGUAAGCAGAACUGGCAAUGCAGCAUGAACCAAACAAAAUAUGAAUGCAAUAUUUUUCAAUACUUUUUGCGUGGUGUUCCAAUGGGGGCAAUACCUCUUGGUCACAGUACUUUAUUCUUGUGAUGGCC